GUGAAAUUGUUGAAAGGGAAACACUUGAAGUCAGUCUUGCUCAGUAGAAAUCAACCUUGCUGUUGCCUGGUGCACUUUCUGCUGAGCAGGUCAGCAUCAAUCUUGGUUGCUGGAAAAAGGCCAUGGAAAUGUAGUGCCUAUUGGCAUGUUAUAGUCCUUGGCUGUAUACAGUGACUGGGAUUGAGGAACUCAGUUACUUCUGCUGAAAUGAUGCUGGCAUAAUGGCUUUAAUUGACCCGUCUUGAAACACGGACCAAGGAGUC
rnacentral:rRNA from 1 species